GUGAACGCUGGCGGUAGGCCUAACACAUGCCAGUCGAACGGCAGCACAGUAAGAGCUUGCUCUUACGGGUGGCGAGUGGCGGACGGGUGAGGAAUACAUCGGAAUCUACUUUUUCGUGGGGGAUAACAUAGGGAAACUUACGCUAAUACCGCAUACGACCUACGGGUGAAAGCAGGGGAUCUUCGGACCUUGCGCGAUUGAAUGAGCCGAUGUCGGAUUAGCUAGUUGGCGGGGUAAAGGCCCACCAAGGCGACGAUCCGUAGCUGGUCUGAGAGGAUGAUCAGCCACACUGGAACUGAGACACGGUCCAGACUCCUACGGGAGGCAGCAGUGGGGAAUAUUGGACAAUGGGCGCAAGCCUGAUCCAGCCAUACCGCGUGGGUGAAGAAGGCCUUCGGGUUGUAAAGCCCUUUUGUUGGGAAAGAAAAGCAGCAGGUUAAUACCCCGCUGUUCUGACGGUACCCAAAGAAUAAGCACCGGCUAACUUCGUG
rnacentral:rRNA from 1 species